UUCCCGGUGGUGUAACGGCAGCACAGCUGGUUUUGGUCCAGCUAGUUCAGGUUCAAAUCCUGGCCGGGAAA
rnacentral:tRNA from 1 species